UACGUAGGGGGCGAGCGUUGUCCGGAUUUAUUGGGCGUAAAGAGCGUGUAGGCGGCUAUGCAGGUCCGCUGUGAAAACUCGAGGCUCAACCUCGAGACGUCGGUGGAAACCGCAUGGCUAGAGUCCGGAAGAGGAGAGUGGAAUUCCCGGUGUAGCGGUGAAAUGCGCAGAUAUCGGGAGGAACACCAAUGGCGAAGGCAGCUCGCUGGGACGUGACUGACGCUGAGACGCGAAAGCGUGGGGGAGCAACA
rnacentral:rRNA from 1 species